rnacentral:rRNA from 1 species
GAUGAACGCUGGCGGCGUGCCUAAUACAUGCAAGUCGAACGCGCAGCGAAAGGUGCUUGCACCUUUCAAGCGAGUGGCGAACGGGUGAGUAACACGUGGAUAACCUGCCUCAAGGCUGGGGAUAACAUUUGGAAACAGAUGCUAAUACCGAAUAAAACUUAGUAUCGCAUGAUACAAAGUUAAAAGGCGCUACGGCGUCACCUAGAGAUGGAUCCGCGGUGCAUUAGUUAGUUGGUGGGGUAAAGGCUUACCAAGACGAUGAUGCAUAGCCGAGUUGAGCGACUGAGCGGCCACAUUGGGACUGAGACACGGCCCAAACUCCUACGGGAGGCUGCAGUAGGGAAUCUUCCACAAUGGGCGCAAGCCUGAUGGAGCAACGCCGCGUGUGUGAUGAAGGCUUUCGGGUCGUAAAGCACUGUUGUAUGGGAAGAAAUGCUAAAAUAGGGAAUGAUUUUGGUUUGACGGUACCAUACCAGAAAGGGACGGCUAAAUACGUGCCAGCCGCCGCCGUAA